rnacentral:rRNA from 1 species
UGCGUAGGUGGUUUUUUAAGUCGGAUGUGAAAUCCCCGGGCUUAACCUGGGAACUGCACCCGAUACUGGACGACUAGAGUGCGAGAGAGGGAGGUAGAAUUCCACGUGUAGCGGUGAAAUACGUAGAUAUGUGGAGGAAUACCGGUGGCGAAGGCGGCCUCCUGGCUCGACACUGACGCUGAGGUGCGAAAGCGUGGGGAGCAAACA